GUGCUCACUUUGGCAGCACAUAUACUAAAAUUGGAACAAUACAGAGAAGAUUAGCAUGACUGCUACACAAGGAUAACAAGCAAAACAGUACAGAAUAGAACCAAUAA
ensembl:snRNA U6 U6 spliceosomal RNA